rnacentral:misc_RNA from 1 species
GGAAAAGAAACCCUCGUGGCUUCAUGCAUUCAUCAUUUUGCAAAACAAAGUAAUUUGAAAAAAGAUACAUUUCAUCUCAUUACAAGGCUUGAACAUCCAUGCAUACAAGGAUGCUCAUUAUUUCAAAUGUUCACCAGAACACACGCAGCUUACAGAAGAUUCAACAAAGGAACCCAAGGGACUCUCUUAACGACUCUCGACCAUGGGAGCUUCUUUUGCAAAAAUCUCGCCAGCAUAUUUCCAAUUUAUAACCUUCCAUAUGUUCUUCAGAUAGUCUGGUCUGACAUUUUU